CGCUAUCACUCCUACGGGAGGCAGCAGUGGGGAAUAUUGCACAAUGGGCGCAAGCCUGAUGCAGCCAUGCCGCGUGUAUGAAGAAGGCCUUCGGGUUGUAAAGUACUUUCAGCAGUGAGGAAGGUGGAGUCGUUAAUAGCGGCCUCAUUUGACGUUAGCUGCAGAAGAAGCACCGGCUAACUCCGUGCCAGCAGCCGCGGUAAUACGGAGGGUCCGAGCGUUAUCCGGAAUUAUUGGGUUUAAAGGGUCCGUAGGCGGGCCGGUAAGUCAGGGGUGAAAGUCUGUAGCUCAACUAUAGAACUGCCUUUGAUACUGCCGGUCUUGAGUCACGGUGAAGUUGCCGGAAUAUGUGGUGUAGCGGUGAAAUGCAUAGAUAUCACAUAGAACACCGAUUGCGAAGGCAGGUGACUAACCGUGUACUGACGCUGAUGGACGAAAGCGUGGGGAGCAAACAGGAUUAGAUACCCUGGUAG
rnacentral:rRNA from 1 species